GAUGAACGCUGGCGGCGUGCCUAAUACAUGCAAGUCGAGCGAACGGACGAGAAGCUUGCUUCUCUGAUGUUAGCGGCGGACGGGUGAGUAACACGUGGAUAACCUACCUAUAAGACUGGGAUAACUUCGGGAAACCGGAGCUAAUACCGGAUAAUAUUUUGAACCGCAUGGUUCAAAAGUGAAAGACGGUCUUGCUGUCACUUAUAGAUGGAUCCGCGCUGCAUUAGCUAGUUGGUAAGGUAACGGCUUACCAAGGCAACGAUGCAUAGACGACCUGAGAGGGUGAUCGGCCACCCUGGAACUGAGACACGGUCCAGACUCCUACGGGAGGCAGCAGUAGGGAAUCUUCCGCAAUGGGCGAAAGCAUGACGGAGCAACGCCGCGUGAGUGAUAAAGGUCUUCGGAUCGUAAAACUCUGUUAUUAGGGAAGAACAUAUGUGUAAGUAACUGUGCACAUCUUGACGGUACCUAAUCAGAAAGCCACGGCUAACUACGUG
rnacentral:rRNA from 1 species